CCAUUGUGAUGAUCCCUUAAUCAGUUCUGCUUCCGAAAGAGAGAGCAAUCUCUUGGUGGACAACUUCUAUACCAAAAAACUCUUCUGAUUU
rnacentral:snoRNA from 1 species